UACGUAGGGUCCGAGCGUUGUCCGGAAUUAUUGGGCGUAAAGAGCUUGUAGGCGGUUUGUCGCGUCUGCUGUGAAAAUCCGGGGCUCAACCCCGGACUUGCAGUGGGUACGGGCAGACUAGAGUGUGGUAGGGGGAGACUGGAAUUCCUGGUGUAGCGGUGGAAUGCGCAGAUAUCAGGAGGAACACCGGUGGCGAAGGCGGUUCUCUGGGAAUGUACUGACGCUGGAGGAGCGAAAGUGUGGGGAGCGAACAGG
rnacentral:rRNA from 1 species